rnacentral:rRNA from 1 species
GUUUGAUCCUGGCUCAGAUUGAACGCUGGCGGAAUGCUUUACACAUGCAAGUCGAGCGGCAGCGCGGGGGCAACCCUGGCGGCGAGCGGCGAACGGGUGAGUAACAUAUCGGAACGUACCCCGUCGUGGCGGAUAACACAGCGAAAGCUGUGCUAAUACCGCAUACGACCUGAGGGUGAAAGCGGGGGAUCGCAAGACCUCGCGCGAUGGGAGCGGCCGAUAUCGGAUUAGCUUGUUGGUGAGGUAAAAGGCUCACCAAGGCGACGAUCCGUAGCUGGUCUGAGAGGACGACCAGCCACACUGGAACUGAGACACGGUCCAGACUCCUACGGGAGGCAGCAGUGGGGAAUUUUGGACAAUGGGGGGCAACCCUGAUCCAGCCAUUCCGCGUGAGUGAAGAAGGCCUCGG